rnacentral:rRNA from 1 species
UUAACAGGAUUAGAUACCCUGGUAGUCCACGCCGUAAACGAUGUCGACUUGGAGGUUGUGCCCUUGAGGCGUGGCUUCCGGAGCUAACGCGUUAAGUCGACCGCCUGGGGAGUACGGCCGCAAGGUUAAAACUCAAAUGAAUUGACGGGGGCCCGCACAAGCGGUGGAGCAUGUGGCUUAAUUCGAUGCAACGCGAAGAACCUUACCUGGCCUUGACAUCCACGGAAUUCGGCAGAGAUGCCUUAGUGCCUUCGGGAACCGUGAGACAGGUGCUGCAUGGCUGUCGUCAGCUCGUGUUGUGAAAUGUUGGGUUAAGUCCCGCAACGAGCGCAACCCUUAUCCUUUGUUGCCAGCACGUAAUGGUGGGAACUCAAAGGAGACUGCCGGUGAUAAACCGGAGGAAGGUGGGGAUGACGU